UUAAAUUGAAGAGUUUGAUCAUGGCUCAGAUUGAACGCUGGCGGCAGGCCUAACACAUGCAAGUCGAACGGUAACAGGAAACAGCUUGCUGUUUCGCUGACGAGUGGCGGACGGGUGAGUAAUGUCUGGGAAACUGCCUGAUGGAGGGGGAUAACUACUGGAAACGGUAGCUAAUACCGCAUAACGUCGCAAGACCAAAGAGGGGGACCUUCGGGCCUCUUGCCAUCGGAUGUGCCCAGAUGGGAUUAGCUAGUAGGUGGGGUAACGGCUCACCUAGGCGACGAUCCCUAGCUGGUCUGAGAGGAUGACCAGCCACACUGGAACUGAGACACGGUCCAGACUCCUACGGGAGGCAGCAGUGGGGAAUAUUGCACAAUGGGCGCAAGCCUGAUGCAGCCAUGCCGCGUGUAUGAAGAAGGCCUUCGGGUUGUAAAGUACUUUCAGCGGGGAGGAAGGGAGUAAAGUUAAUACCUUUGCUCAUUGACGUUACCCGCAGAAGAAGCACCGGCUAACUCCGUGCCAGCAGCCGCGGUAAUACGGAGGGUGCAAGCGUUAAUCGGAAUUACUGGGCGUAAAGCGCACGCAGGCGGUUUGUUAAGUCAGAUGUGAAAUCCCCGGGCUCAACCUGGGAACUGCAUCUUAUACUGGCAAGCUUGAGUCUCGUAGAGGGGGGUAGAAUUCCAGGUGUAGCGGUGAAAUGCGUAGAGAUCUGGAGGAAUACCGGUGGCGAAGGCGGCCCCCUGGACGAAGACUGACGCUCAGGUGCGAAAGCGUGGGGAGCAAACAGGAUUAGAUACCCUGGUAGUCCACGCUGUAAACGAUGUCGACUUGGAGGUUGUGCCCUUGAGGUGUGGCUUCCGGAGCUAACGCGUUAAGUCGACCGCCUGGGGAGUACGACCGCAAGGUUAAAACUCAAAUGAAUUGACGGGGGCCCGCACAAGCGGUGGAGCAUGUGGUUUAAUUCGAUGCAACGCGAAGAACCUUACCUGGUCUUGACAUCCACGGAAGUUUUCAGAGAUGAGAAUGUGCCUUCGGGAACCGUGAGACAGGUGCUGCAUGGCUGUCGUCAGCUCGUGUUGUGAAAUGUUGGGUUAAGUCCCGCAACGAGCGCAACCCUUAUCCUUUGUUGCCAGCGGUCCGGCCGGGAACUCAAAGGAGACUGCCAGUGAUAAACUGGAGGAAGGUGGGGAUGACGUCAAGUCAUCAUGGCCCUUACGACCAGGGCUACACACGUGCUACAAUGGCGCAUACAAAGAGAAGCGACCUCGCGAGAGCAAGCGGACCUCAUAAAGUGCGUCGUAGUCCGGAUUGGAGUCUGCAACUCGACUCCAUGAAGUCGGAAUCGCUAGUAAUCGUGGAUCAGAAUGCCACGGUGAAUACGUUCCCGGGCCUUGUACACACCGCCCGUCACACCAUGGGAGUGGGUUGCAAAAGAAGUAGGUAGCUUAACCUUCGGGAGGGCGCUUACCACUUUGUGAUUCAUGACUGGGGUGAAGUCGUAACAAGGUAACCGUAGGGGAACCUGCGGUUGGAUCACCUCCUUACCUUAAAGAAGC
rnacentral:rRNA from 2 species